CUUACGGGAGCCACCAGGGGGAAAUUUUGGCCAAUGGGGGAAACCCUGAGGCAGCAACGCGGCGUGAGUGAUGAAGCCCUUGGGGUCGUAAAGCUCUGUCAGAAGAAGGAAAUGAUGUCGGAUAAUAUCCGGCAGGCUUGACGGUACCUUCAAAGGAAGCACCGGCUAACUCCGUGCCAGCAGCCGCGGUAAU
rnacentral:rRNA from 1 species